rnacentral:rRNA from 1 species
ACGAACGCUGGCGGCGUGCCUAAUACAUGCAAGUAGAACGCUGAAGGAGGAGCUUGCUUCUCUGGAUGAGUUGCGAACGGGUGAGUAACGCGUAGGUAACCUGCCUGGUAGCGGGGGAUAACUAUUGGAAACGAUAGCUAAUACCGCAUAAUAGCAGUUGUUGCAUGACAACUGUUUGAAAGGUGCAAUUGCACCACUACCAGAUGGACCUGCGUUGUAUUAGCUAGUUGGUGGGGUAACGGCUCACCAAGGCGACGAUACAUAGCCGACCUGAGAGGGUGAUCGGCCACACUGGGACUGAGACACGGCCCAGACUCCUACGGGAGGCAGCAGUAGGGAAUCUUCGGCAAUGGACGGAAGUCUGACCGAGCAACGCCGCGUGAGUGAAGAAGGUUUUCGGAUCGUAAAGCUCUGUUGUAAGAGAAGAACGAGUGUGAGAGUGGAAAGUUCACACUGUGACGGUAUCUUACCAGAAAGGGACGGCUAACUACGU